ACACAUGCAAGUCGAACGAGAGAUGAGGAGCUUGCUCUUCAAAUCGAGUGGCGAACGGGUGAGUAACGCGUGAGGAACCUGCCUCAAAGAGGGGGACAACAGUUGGAAACGACUGCUAAUACCGCAUAAGCCCACGGCUCGGCAUCGAGCAGGGGGAAAAGGAGCAAUCCGCUUUGAGAUGGCCUCGCGUCCGAUUAGCUAGUUGGUGAGGUAAUGGCCCACCAAGGCGACGAUCGGUAGCCGGACUGAGAGGUUGAACGGCCACAUUGGGACUGAGACACGGCCCAGACUCCUACGGGAGGCAGCAGUGGGGAAUAUUGCACAAUGGGGGAAACCCUGAUGCAGCGACGCCGCGUGGAGGAAGAAGGUCUUCGGAUUGUAAACUCCUGUUGUUGAGGAAGAUAAUGACGGUACUCAACAAGGAAGUGACGGCUAACUACGUGCCAGCAGCCGCGGUAAAACGUAGGUCACAAGCGUUGUCCGGAAUUACUGGGUGUAAAGGGAGCGCAGGCGGGAGAACAAGUUGGAAGUGAAAUCCAUGGGCUCAACCCAUGAACUGCUUUCAAAACUGUUUUUCUUGAGUAGUGCAGAGGUAGGCGGAAUUCCCGGUGUAGCGGUGGAAUGCGUAGAUAUCGGGAGGAACACCAGUGGCGAAGGCGGCCUACUGGGCACCAACUGACGCUGAGGCUCGAAAGUGUGGGUAGCAAACAGGAUUAGAUACCCUGGUAGUCCACACCGUAAACGAUGAUUACUAGGUGUUGGAGGAUUGACCCCUUCAGUGCCGCAGUUAACACAAUAAGUAAUCCACCUGGGGAGUACGACCGCAAGGUUGAAACUCAAAGGAAUUGACGGGGGCCCGCACAAGCAGUGGAGUAUGUGGUUUAAUUCGACGCAACGCGAAGAACCUUACCAAGUCUUGACAUCCCUUGACGAUGCUGGAAACAGUAUUU
rnacentral:rRNA from 1 species